rnacentral:rRNA from 1 species
CCCUUAGAUGUUCUGGGCCGCACGCGCGCUACACUGACGAUGGCAACGAGUUUUUCCUUCGCCGAAAGGUGUGGGUAAUCUUUUGAAACAUCGUCGUGCUGGGGAUAGAUCAUUGCAAUUUUUGUUCUUGAACGAGGAAUUCCUAGUAAGCGCGAGUCAUCAGCUCGCGUUGAUUACGUCCCUGCCCUUUGUACACACCGCCCGUCGCUACUACCGAUUGAAUGGUUUAGUGAGGACUCCUGAUUGGCGCCGCCGCCCCGGCAACGGAGCAGCGGACUGCCGAAAAGUUGUUCAAACUUGAUCAUUUAGAGGAAGUAAAAGUCGUAACA